AAAAAUGUAUCGGACCUGAGUAAAAAUUUCAUAUAAACUUUGUUAAACUUGGCAACUGAGCUAAUAUAUUUCAAUAGGCUACCUUCAUUUGUCCAGGAUGGUGAAAAAAAAAAUUCCCUUGGUGUUUUACCGGCACUUGUACAAUCAAGGUUUCAGCUCAGGCCAUUCAAUUUCCUUCAUCUCUGAUGUUUGCUUGUCUUCAACAAUGGCAAAUGUUAACAAUCACCGCAUAGGUGACUGUUAAGGUUGUACUAAAGUGAGUCUUAUUUAAUAAAAAAAAUUAAAUAAAUAAAAAAGGACGUAAAACUAAUUAUUUUGGUUAUUUUAAUAUUUUUUUCUCUCUACAAAGUUGGCCCCCACAAUAAUAAAAAAAUUAACAUAAAGCUGCAAAAAAAAAAAAAAAUG